UACGUAGGGGGCAAGCGUUGGUCCGGAUUUAUUGGGCGUAAAGAGCGUGUAGGCGGCCAGAUAGGUCCGUUGUGAAAACUGGAAGGCUUAACCUCCAGCGGUCGAUGGAAACCAUUUUGGCUAAGAGUCCGGAAGAGGAGAGUGGAAAUUCCUGGUGUAGCGGUGAAAUGCGCAGAUAAUCAGGAAGAACACCCGUGGCGAAGGCGGCUC
rnacentral:rRNA from 1 species